rnacentral:rRNA from 1 species
UACGUAGGGGGCUAGCGUUGUCCGGAAUCAUUGGGCGUAAAGAGCGUGUAGGCGGUCCGGUAAGUCCGCUGUGAAAGUCGGGGGCUCAACCCUCGAAUGCCGGUGGAUACUGUCGGGCUAGAGUGCGGAAGAGGCGAGUGGAAUUCCUGGUGUAGCGGUGAAAUGCGCAGAUAUCAGGAGGAACACCUAUGGCGAAGGCAGGUCACUGGGCCGCAACUGACGCUGAGGAGCGAAAGCAUGGGGAGCGAACAGG